UUACUCGCCGCGCCGCGCCACGGAGGAGAGGGCAGCGGCCGCGCCCCCGGGCAGGAGAAGAAGGCGGCUGCACGCCGCGGAGGAGGGGAGGCGGCCGCGCUUGCAGACGAAGAAGAGGGAGCAGCCACGCCGUCGUGCAGGUCUGCAGGAGAAGGAGGCCAGGGCUCAGGCGCGGAGGAGGAGAGGCCAGCUGCGCCGCCGCGCAAGAGGAGAAUACGGGCGCGCUGCUGUGGAGGAGAAGAGAGGGAGAAGACGUGCACCGCCAGCGGAGCGAAGGAAGAGGGCUGCAUCGCCGCCGCACGUGUGAACUGACAGCAACAAGAAGAAUUGGAGUUUUGUGUAAUUGUGGGUGAUGUGCAAUGGCAAAUUCUGUUAAGGGGGUGCCCUGAGACCUGAAGUUGGUAUUGAAUUCAGAAGUUUAGAUGAGUUUUGGAUGUUUUGGAUAGCAAAUAUGGAGACUGAAAAGUAAAGUGUCAUUGGAAGUUUACCCAGCUGAUCAUAGCUCCCCCUACUAGUGAUGGUAGUCUUUUGGGGUUAUUUUGGGGGGCUAACUAUAGUCUUCCAAUUGUGUGAGUGAUCUGCAGAAAUUGCAUGUAUGCUGGGUUCAGUUUUUGCUACAGAUUUUCAAUGUAAUAUGUGACCUUAAUUGCUUCAGACCCUCAAUGUUAAGUUCUACAAAAUGUCAAUGUUAGCUGGUUCA